GUGAUUCUGAAAAUAGCCCUAAUCAGUCGUCCUGCUGCUACCAUGAAGGUCAACUUCAGACGCCGUCGGCAACGACACAUUCAAUGGAGCAUACUUUUUUGUAGUGCAUGUGAUGUAAGUUCACUGAUGUUGCCUGUGCGAGUGUCUAUGGGCUUCAUUUCUGCCGAAGGGAAUUCCAUUUUUUCGCCUCUGUAGCCAACCAUCGGCAAUAUUUUUAUUUAUUGUGGCAUCUCCCACUGACCUCGGUGAUGGGGGGGGGGUUUUGGCGGCGCUGUGCUGAUGCAGGUCGACCUUACUUUCACUCGUGCUAAAAGUUACGAUGGGAAAAUAUUUUUCCGUUUCGAUCAACCGUCUGAUCGACUAUCUAUUCAGGCGGUGGUCGUCUUCCACAGAUCUCGUCCACGUGAGAGUCAACUUUAUGUCGGAGAGCGGGACUGUACGGGUGUUUGAAUACACCCGCACAAGAUUUUUCCGCAAAAAGAACUACGUCCUUGUUGCAGAUGACACGUACCAACGACAGUUCACUCCGCUUCGUUGACCGGUGCAUCUACUUUUUGGUUCGGUUGAAAAUGGAUGACACGGAGACCCGGGAAAACUACUGGCAGGGUGCCACUGGCGCGCAAUGGACACUGCACAUGGCUUUUCUACUGAUAUUGAACUUUCACGGACCGUUUCUUUGUAAAAAUCUCGACGGAAUACCCCCCAGGGUGGGACUCUUCGGCGU
rnacentral:lncRNA from 1 species